rnacentral:rRNA from 1 species
AAAGGGUGCGUAGGCGGUUUGACAAGUCUCAUGUGAAAUCUUCGGGCUCAACUCGAAGUCUGCAUGGGAAACUGUCGGGCUUGAGUAUGGGAGAGGUGAGUGGAAUUUCCGGUGUAGCGGUGAAAUGCGUAGAUAUCGGAAGGAACACCUGUGGCGAAAGCGGCUCACUGGACCAUAACUGACGCUGAGGCACGAAAGCUAGGGGAGCAAACAGGAUUAGAUACCCUAGU